GAUGAACGCUGGCGGCGUGCCUAAUACAUGCAAGUCGAGCGAACAGACGAGGAGCUUGCUCCUCUGACGUUAGCGGCGGACGGGUGAGUAACACGUGGAUAACCUACCUAUAAGACUGGGAUAACUUCGGGAAACCGGAGCUAAUACCGGAUAAUAUAUUGAACCGCAUGGUUCAAUAGUGAAAGACGGUUUUGCUGUCACUUAUAGAUGGAUCCGCGCCGCAUUAGCUAGUUGGUAAGGUAACGGCUUACCAAGGCAACGAUGCGUAGCCGACCUGAGAGGGUGAUCGGCCACACGGGAACUGAGACACGGUCCAGACUCCUACGGGAGGCAGCAGUAGGGAAUCUGACGCAAUGGGCGAAAGCUUGACGGAGCAACGCCGCGUGAGUGAUGAAGGUCUUCGGAUCGUAAAACUCUGUUAUUAGGGAAGAACAAAUGUGUAAGUAACUAUGCACGUCUUGACGGUACCUAAUCAGAAAGCCACGGCUAACUACGUG
rnacentral:rRNA from 1 species